UAUGUAUUGUAGUGUUGCUGUGUGCCUA
rnacentral:sRNA from 1 species